ACGGUACCCGACUAAGAAGCACCGGCUAACUACGUGCCAGCAGCCGCGGUAAUACGUAGGGUGCGAGCGUUAAUCGGAAUUACUGGGCGUAAAGCGUGCGCAGGCGGUUUGGUAAGUCAGAUGUGAAAUCCCCGGGCUCAACCUGGGAACUGCAUUUGAGACUGCCAAGCUGGAGUUUGGCAGAGGGGGGUGGAAUUCCACGUGUAGCAGUGAAAUGCGUAGAGAUGUGGAGGAACACCGAUGGCGAAGGCAGCCCCCUGGGCCAAUACUGACGCUCAUGCACGAAAGCGUGGGGAGCAAACAGGAUUAGAUACCCUGGUAGUCCACGCCCUAAACGAUGUCAACUAGGUGUUGGGAGGGUUAAACCUUUUAGUGCCGUAGCUAACGCGUGAAGUUGACCGCCUGGGGAGUACGGCCGCAAGGCUAAAACUCAAAGGAAUUGACGGGGACCCGCACAAGCGGUGGAUGAUGUGGAUUAAUUCGAUGCAACGCGAAAAACCUUACCUACCCUUGACAUGUCAGGAAUCCUGGAGAGAUUUGGGAGUGCUCGCAAG
rnacentral:rRNA from 1 species